rnacentral:lncRNA from 1 species
AUGAGCAAAGCAAAGCUGGCCCCCUGCGCUGAACACACAGUGCCGAGACUUGAACUCUGUGCAGCAGUGCUUGCUGUCAAGUUAGCACACCUGGUCUUGGCAGAAUUAGACCUACAGAUUGAUGACGUAACCUACUACUCAGACAGUAAAGUAGUCCUGGGCUAUAUUUGCAAUGAGACCAGGUGCUUUUAUGUCUAUUUCAGCAACCGAGUGCUACGCAUCCGAAGAUCCUGCCGACCAGACCAGUGGCGUUACGUGCCAACAGACCUGAAACCUGCAGAUCACGCAACGCGUUCUGUCCCUGCUGGCCAACUGAAGCACACCAACUGGUUGAGUGGCCCCAGAUGUCUCUCCAAGCCAGAGCCUAGCAUUUCUGAGAACACUUAUGACCUUGUUGACCCGAGCUCAGAUCCAGACAUUCGCCCUCUGGUGUCUGCCUUAAGCACUACAGCCUCAAACCAGCAACUGGAUUCACAACGCUUUGCAAAGCUCUCUACUUGGAGGUCAUUAACUCGUGCAGUCACACACCUCGUUCACAUAGCCUGUCGUUUCAAGACAGUUCACAGAGAGAACCAAGCAUGCAAGGGCUGGCAUUACUGCAAAGCUGAAUUCACAGUUGAGAAAGAGGCAGCUGUGAUCAUCCAAGCAGUUCAACAGAAAGUCUACAGCCAACAAAUAAAGUGCAUUCAAAAACAUGAAAGGAUGCCAAAAACAAGCCCUCUGAGAAAUCUGGACCCAUUCAUCGACACACACGGCUGUCUCAGAGUUGGAGGCGGUCUUCAUCAUUCAAGUGUCGAUCAGAGUGAAAAGACUCCCCUGAUUAUUCCUGGCCAGCAUCACAUCGCCACUUUGCUUAUCAGACACCACCACGAGCAAAUUCAUCAUCAAGGCCGUCACGUUACAGAGUGGGCGUUCAGCCGGCCUUUGGAAAGUAGGAGAGAAGAAAAGAGUAAGCAGCAUCAUUUACCAAUGCAUAACAUGCAGAAGGCUCAGAGCUCCACUCAGUCUCCGGAAAAUGGCUGA